AGCUGUACGGAGAGCACAGAGCGAACUAUUCUUUCGCCUCUGACUAAAAAAUACCGUGUGCUUGUCACAAACAGUAGCAUACGCUUAGUUUUGGAGGGGCAUUUCCGAAUACCAA